AGACUGCCUCGGACAACGGGAGGAAGGUGGGGAUGACGUCAAGUCCGCAUGCUCCUUACGUCUAGGGCUACACACGUCCUACAAUGGGGUCGACAAUGGGAAGCAAUACCGCGAGGUGGAGCCAAUCCCCAAACGACCCCUCAGUUCGGAUUGCAGUCUGCAACUCGACUACAUGAAGUCGGAAUCGCUAGUAAUGGCAGGUCAGCAUACUGCCGUGAAUACGUUCCCGGGUCUU
rnacentral:rRNA from 1 species